rnacentral:rRNA from 1 species
GAUGAACGCUGGCGGCGUGCUUAACACAUGCAAGUCGAACGAAGCACUUUUUUUGUUUUCCUUCGGUCCGGAUGCUUUUGUGACUGAGUGACGUACGGGUGCUUACCUCGUGUGUAACCUACCUUCUAGAGGGGGAUGACAAUUGGAAAUGGCUGCUAAUACCGCAUAAUGGCACGGCGUCGCAUUAUGCGGUUGGAAAAACUCCGGUGGUAUAAGAUGGACCCGGGUUGGUUUAGCGAGUUGGUGAGGUUACGGCCCACCAAGGCGACGAGCCAUAGCUGACCUGAGAGGGGGACAGGCUACAUUGGGACUGAGACACGGACCAAACUCCUACGGGAGGCAGCAGUGGGGAAUAUUGCACAAUGGGCGAAAGCCUGAUGCAGCGACGCCGCGUGAGCGAAGAAGUAUUUCGGUAUGUAAAGCUCUAUCAGCAGGGAAGAUAAUGACGGUACCUGACUAAGAAGCACCGGCUAACUACGUG